rnacentral:rRNA from 1 species
AUUGAACGCUGGCGGCAGGCCUAACACAUGCAAGUCGAGCGGCUGAACGGUGCUUGCUCCUGGUUUCAGCGUCGGACGGGUGAGUAAUGCCUAGGAAUCUGCCUGGUAGUGGGUGAUAACGUCCGGAAACGGGCGCUAAUACCGCAUACGUCCUGAGGGUGAAAGUGGGUGAUCUUCGGACCUCACGCUAUCUGAUGUGCCUAGGUCGGAUUAGCUAGUUGGUGGGGUAAAGUCCUACCAAGGCGACGAUCCGUAACUGGUCUGAGAGGAUGAUCAGUCACACUGGAAGUGAGACACGGACCAGACUACGACGGGAGGCAGCAGUGGGGAAUAUUGGACAAAGGGGGAAAGCCUGAUACAGCAAUGCCGAGUGUGGGAAGAAGGUCUUCGGAUUGUAAAGCACUUUAAGUAGGGAGGAAGGGAAGUAAGUUAAUACCUUGCGGUUAUGACGUUACCAAAAGAAUAAGCACCGGCUAACUACGUG